GCAGUACUUGUACUCCUAUAAGGCAACUCUUCUGUCUGAUUGUUAUUUGCACCCGAUUCCUCUCAGUACUUCCUUCAUCAGUGACGUACCAUAAUCACCUCAUGAAACCACUGCUCACCAUACCUUGCCCGAGUGCCAAAGGCGGUCAUCUCGGAUCCAUUACCGUGUACUGGAAUGCUUCCACUAACGGGAAGACAUCUUCCAGCAUGAACGUCACCAUCCCGAGCAACUGCAACAGCAGCAACGCUACUUUUGCGUUAUACUUCAAUAUCAGCCAUUCAAAUCC